rnacentral:lncRNA from 1 species
CAGAGUCAUUGUAGGGGGAUAACAUGUACAACAAAGGCAUCAUUGGGGGUAUCAUUUAUAACAGAGGCAUUGUGGGGCUGGCAACAUGUACAACAGGAUCAUCGUGGGGGGUGUAACAUGUACAACAGAGGCAUCGUGGGGGGUAACAUGUACAACAGAGGCAUGUACAUCAGAGUCAUUGUAGGGGGGUAACAUGUACAACAAAGGCAUCAUUGGGGAUAACAUUUACAACAGAGGCAUUGUGGGGUGGCAACAUGUACAACAGGAUCAUCGUGGGGGGGUGUAACAUGUACAACAGAGGCAUCAUGGGGGUAACAUGUACAACAGAGACAUCGUGGGGGCGGCUACAUGUAUAAGAGGAGCAUUGUGUGUGUGUGUGGGGUAACGUGUACAACAGAGGCAUCGUGGGGAUAACAUGUACAACAGAGGCAUCGUGGGGGGUAACAUACAAAAGAGGCUUUGUGUGUGGGGGUAACAUGUACAACAGAGGCAUCAUGGGGGGUAACAUGUACAACAGAGGCAUCAUGGGGGGUAUCAAGUACAACAGAGACAUCGUGGGAUAACAUGUACAUCAUAGGUAUUAUGGGGGGAAAAUAAACAACAGAGGCAUCGUUGGGGGGGUUACAUGUACAACAGAUGCAUAGUUUGGGUUAACAUGUACAACAGAGGCAUCCUGCGUGGGAUAAUAUGUACUACAGAUGCAUCAUGGGGGGGGUGGUUUAAAAUGUACAACAGAAGCAUUGUGUAGGUAACAUGUACAACAGAGGCAUCGUAGAGGAGGCAACAUGUACAACAGAGGCAUCAUGGGGGUAACAUGUACAUCAGAAGCAUCAUGGGGGGAAACAUGAACAACAGAGGCAUCGUGGGGGGCUAACAUGUACAACAGAGGCAUCCUCAGGGAGGCAACAUCUACAACAGAGGCAUCGUGGUUGGGGAGGCAACAUGUACAACAAAGGCAUUGGGGGGGGGUUAACAUGUACAACAGAGGAUUUUGGGGGCUGGACAACAUGUACAAAAGAGGCAUUCUGGGGGGGGGGUUACAUAACAAAUAUAUUACCAGCACAACACAAGAAAUGAAUACACGCUUUAAAUGUAAAUUAAUUUUCUUACUUUUUUCUUUUUUUAUUGACAGGUAAUAUUUAUACUUCUGAGAAUAUAAUUUAAUUAUAUUUCUCUCUUACUUUUCCUCCCUCCAAACUCUCAUCACAUGACACAAAUUAAAAACAUACAAAAGGAUAUAGAUAGACAUUUUAACCUUUUUCCUCAUUUCCAGAAUGUGAACCACUUCCUUGUUACAAUGCAAAAUAACCUAGUAUUGAAUUUAGGAUUUAACAUAUUUCUUUAAUUUACAUUUUACCUUUUUCUAAUAUUUUUACUGGCACAAAACUAUGCUACAAUGGAUCUAGGUUUGGAGAAGAAUAAAAGAGGGAAAUAAAUUAUGUAAGUGUAUGAAAAUG